AACGAACGCUGGCGGCAGGCCUAACACAUGCAAGUCGAACGCCGUAGCAAUACGGAGUGGCAGACGGGUGAGUAACACGUGGGAACAUACCCUUCGGUUCGGAAUAACUCAGGGAAACUUGUGCUAAUACCGGAUACGUCCGCAAGGAGAAAGAUUUAUCGCCGAAGGAUUGGCCCGCGUCUGAUUAGCUUGUUGGUGAGGUAAUGGCUCACCAAGGCGACGAUCAGUAGCUGGUCUGAGAGGAUGAUCAGCCACAUUGGGACUGAGACACGGCCCAAACUACGGGAGGCAGCAGUGGGGAAUAUUGGACAAUGGGCGAAAGCCUGAUCCAGCCAUGCCGCGUGAGUGAUGAAGGCCUUAGGGUUGUAAAGCUCUUUUACCUGGGAAGAUAAUGACGGUACCAGGAGAAUAAGCCCCGGCUAACUUCGUGCCAGCAGCCGCGGUAAUACGAAGGGGGCUAGCGUUGUUCGGAUUUACUGGGCGUAAAGCGCACGUAGGCGGAUCUUUAAGUCAGGGGUGAAAUCCCGAGGCUCAACCUCGGAACUGCCUUUGAUACUGGGGAUCUCGAGUCCGGGAGAGGUGAGUGGAACUGCGAGUGUAGAGGUGAAAUUCGUAGAUAUUCGCAAGAACACCAGUGGCGAAGGCGGCUCACUGGCCCGGUACUGACGCUGAGGUGCGAAAGCGUGGGGAGCAAACAGGAUUAGAUGCCCUGGUAGUCCACGCCGUAAACGAUGGAUGCUAGCCGUUAGACAGCUUGCUGUUUAGUGGCGCAGUUAACGCUUUAAGCAUCCCGCCCGGGGAGUACGGUCGCAAGAUUA
rnacentral:rRNA from 1 species